rnacentral:rRNA from 1 species
GCUUAGAGAGGGGUCAAUGUCCUAUCAGCUGGUUGGUAAGGUAAUGGCUUACCAAGGCUAAGACGGGUAGCCGGCCUGAGAGGGUGGUCGGCCACACUGGGACUGAGACACUGCCCAGACUCCUACGGGAGGCUGCAGUCGAGAAUCUUUCGCAAUGCCCGAAAGGGUGACGAAGCGACGCCGCGUGUGGGAAGAAGGCCUUCGGGUUGUAAACCACUGUCGGGAGUUAAGAAAUGUAAGGGUGUUAAUAGCAUCCUUACUUGACUAAGGCUCCGGAGGAAGCCACGGCUAACUCUGUGCCAGCAGCCGCGGUAAUACAGAGGCGGCAAGCGUUGUUCGGAAUUAUUGGGCGUAAAGAGCACGUAGGCGGCUUUGUAAGUCAGUUGUGAAAGCCUUCCGCUUAACGGAAGAACAGCAUCUGAUACUGCAAGGCUAGAGUGCGGAAGGG